UUUAUGCUUUUAUUUUUGUUAUUUAUCUGUUUUCACUGAUGGCUACGUCUACUGUGUAACCCAAUAAAAAUGAAAUUGUUGUCACUACGUUUACCUUCUCAGACAACCCACCGACUUCACCGACUUCAUUCAUUGGAACUAUACAAAACUCACCAGUUAUCACCCAGUUCCAUCUCAUCUUCCUAGCCGCUAUACUUCCCGAUCAUUCAUUGCUCACGUUAUUUUCCCUCCUGCUCCAUCGUCUCUGCUAAAGCUCACCCCCACCACUUCAAUCGCCGAAUUCCAGCCACCAUCUCCACCAAUUGAAUCAAUUCAACUGCUCUACAAAUCAUACUAUGCAAUCCGUCAUGUAAGCCCUACAUCGAUUGACGGAGAAUCUGUGUCAAAUUUUCCCUCGGCCUUCUCCACUACCGGUUAGACCGCCACCAAGAUCACCCUCAACCCAAAACUCCACCGUAAUUUCUAAAGCCUAGGUUUAUACAGUUCAGUUCGUUGCCUAUUGUUUGGGCUACUGAGUUAUUUGUUUUUGCCUCUCAUGGUUUUAAUCUAAAGGUCUAUCAUGAUAAAAGUAAAUACUUAAAGUUCAAUUUUCUUGGAGUAUUUGGAGGCUUGUGAAUUUGAAGGUUCAUACUACAAAUGGCCUAUCAUGUUUGGCAAAAGCUUGAAGAAGGAAAUCAAGAUUUUUUUUCUAAAUUUAUCACCUGAGAUUGAACGUAAAAGAUCAAAUAAUGAAAUUCAAUAAAUUACUACAUACACAAGCUAACCUCAUGCAUGAAAUGUCAACUUCAGUUCCUAUCUCUAAUGGAUCUCAUGUUCUUCUAUAUACCAACAAUCCUUUGAUCUUUCGACUUUAAUACCGAAUUCAAUGUUAUAUCAAGUAAUUUGGUUGGAGAAAAUCGGUUUGGGCAUGUUUGGGAAGGUAUAUCAGUUACCUCCGGAAUCAUUGAUUCCAACUUUCUACCUUUCUAGAGAGAGAUUACUAAAGUAAUUGCAUAUACAAGAAUCUUAUUUGGCAUUGGUACGAGAAUUUGUUAGAACAAUAAUGUUUGGUGGUUAAAGAUUCAAGGGCAUUUCGUUCAUUAUCUCAUCAUAAGUUUUUUUUUUUUUUUGGUUUAUCACGCUUUAUCUCUACCACUGAAGGUGUAUAUGUCGAAUCCAGGUACCUUUACAAUGAAAUCCAAUUAGAAAAAUUGACUGAAUUUUUAAAAUUUCACUUAUAGUAAAUUCUUUUAUUUCAACAUAUAAGAAGGGCAUUUUGGUCUUUCAGUAAAAAAGAAAGAACGAAAUAGAAUUAGGUUUGUCUUUUCACAUCUUUUAUAUAUCCAAUAUGAAUUCUUUUACCUUUUUUUAUAUAUAUGUUCUUUCAAUUGCUUAUCAUUAUAACGUCUCCAUAUUAGUACUAUUGGUUGUGUUAUGUUACAAUGUAUUAACUUCUGUUUUGUUUUUUUUUCUUUUUGAAGUGUAAUGUUUGGACCAUAUUUAUGUGGUACAGAGACAAAGAAGCUUGAUGUUAUUGUUUCCUAUCAAGGGCAAAAUUAUCCAAUCAAGACGGAUUUGCAAUGUAAAACAGACAAGUUAACAUAUUUUUACACUUUUGUCCUUAGGCCUGAUGCAAGUUAUAGUAUUUUAAUAGAUGGUAGGGAAAGAGAUUCUGAAACCAUGGAAACUGCCUUGGUUGUGAUUAAACGUGGUAAUCAAUCGUUUUGCUGGUCAUUAAAAAUGUGAUAAUAGAUUUUAUUAUUACAAAGGUUGAUAUGAAUAAAAUGGUAAAUUGUUCUUUAUUUGUUCAAAAA